GACGGGGGGGGCAAGUGUUCUUCGGAAUGACUGGGCGUAAAGGGCACGCAGGCGGUGAAUCGGGUUGAAAGUGAAAGUCGCCAAAAAGUGGCGGAAUGCUCUCGAAACCAAUUCACUUGAGUGAGACAGAGGAGAGUGGAAUUUCGUGUGUAGGGGUGAAAUGCGUAGAGAUCAGGAAGAACACCGGUGGCGAAAGCGCUCUGCUAGGCCGCAACUGACACUGAGGGACGAAAGCUAGGGGAGCGAAUGGG
rnacentral:rRNA from 1 species